rnacentral:rRNA from 1 species
AUUGAACGCUGGCGGCAGGCCUAACACAUGCAAGUCGAGCGGAUGAAGGGAGCUUGCUCCUGGAUUCAGCGGCGGACGGGUGAGUAAUGCCUAGGAAUCUGCCUGGUAGUGUGGGAUAACGUCCGGAAACGGGCGCUAAUACCGCAUACGUCCUGAGGGAGAAAGUGUGGGUUCUUCGGACCUCACGCUAUCAGAUGAGCCUAGGUCGGAUUAGCUAGUUGGUUGGGUAAAGGCCUACCAAGGCGACGAUCCGUAACUGGUCUGAGAGGAUGAUCAGUCACACUGGAACAGAGACACGGACCAGACACCUACGGGAGGCAGCAGUGGGGAAUAUUGGAAAAUGGGCGAAAGCAUGAUACAGAAAUGCCGCGUGUGUGAAGAAGGUCUUCGGAUUGUAAAGCACUUUAAGUUGGGAGGAAGGGAAGUAAGUUAAUACCUUGCUGUUUUGACGUUACCAACAGAAUAAGCACCGGCUAACUUCGUG